GACGAACGCUGGCGGCGUGCCUAAUACAUGCAAGUCGAACGCAGUGGGGACGGGUGAGUAACACGUGGGUAACCUCCCCUCAGAGGGGAUAACACUUGGAAGCCGGUGCUAAACCGAUCCUGAUGGAUGAACCCGCGGUGCAUUCGCUAGUUGUUGAGGUAACGGCUAACCCAGGCAACGAUGCAUAGCAGACCUGAGAGGGUGAUCGGCCACACUGGGACUGAGACACGGCCCAUACUUCUGCGGGAGGCAGCAGUAGGGAAGCUGCGGCAAUGGACGUAAGUCUGACCGAGCAACGCCGCGUGAGUGAAGAAGGUUUUCGGAUCGUAAAACUCUGUUGUUAGAGAAGCGGGAUCUAACCAGAAAGCCACGGCUAACUACGUGCCAGCAGCCGCGGUAAUUC
rnacentral:rRNA from 1 species